AACGAACGCUGGCGGCAUGCCUAACACAUGCAAGUCGAACGAGACCUUCGGGUCUAGUGGCGCACGGGUGCGUAACGCGUGGGAAUCUGCCCUUGGGUUCGGAACAACAGUUGGAAACGACUGCUAAUACCGGAUGAUGACUUCGGUCCAAAGAUUUAUCGCCCAGGGAUGAGCCCGCGUAGGAUUAGCUUGUUGGUGAGGUAAAAGCUCACCAAGGCGACGAUCCUUAGCUGGUCUGAGAGGAUGAUCAGCCACACUGGGACUGAGACACGGCCCAGACUCCUACGGGAGGCAGCAGUGGGGAAUAUUGGACAAUGGGCGAAAGCCUGAUCCAGCAAUGCCGCGUGAGUGACGAAGGCCUUAGGGUUGUAAAGCUCUUUUACCCGGGAUGAUAAUGACAGUACCGGGAGAAUAAGCCCCGGCUAACUCCGUGCCAGCCGCCGCAGUAACAC
rnacentral:rRNA from 1 species